rnacentral:rRNA from 2 species
GAGUUUGAUCAUGGCUCAGAGCGAACGCUGGCGGCAGGCUUAACACAUGCAAGUCGAGCGGGCCCUUCGGGGUCAGCGGCGGACGGGUGAGUAACGCGUGGAAACGUGCCCUCUGGUUCGGAAUAACCCUGGGAAACUAGGGCUAAUACCGGAUACGCCCUUUUUGGGGAAAGGCUUGCUGCCGGAGGAUCGGCCCGCGUCUGAUUAGCUUGUUGGUGGGGUAACGGCCUACCAAGGCGACGAUCAGUAGCUGGUCUGAGAGGAUGAUCAGCCACACUGGGACUGAGACACGGCCCAGACUCCUACGGGAGGCAGCAGUGGGGAAUAUUGGACAAUGGGCGCAAGCCUGAUCCAGCCAUGCCGCGUGAGUGAUGAAGGCCUUAGGGUUGUAAAGCUCUUUUAUCCGGGACGAUAAUGACGGUACCGGAGGAAUAAGCCCCGGCUAACUUCGUGCCAGCAGCCGCAGUAAC